UACAGAGACCUCAAGCGUUAUCCGGAAUCAUUGGGCGUAAAGCGUACCGAUAGGUGGUUUUACAAGUCAGAAGUGAAAUCCCUCAGCUCAACUGGGAGACUGUCUUUUGAAACUGUAAAACUAGAGGGGCAAGGAGGAAGCUGGAACGAACGGUGUAGUAGUGAAAUGCGUUGAUAUCGUUCGGAACACCAAUAGCGUAGGCAGGCUUCUGGGUGCCACCUGACACUGCUAGGACGAAAGCGUGGGUAGCGAAUGGG
rnacentral:rRNA from 1 species